rnacentral:rRNA from 1 species
GUUAAGAAUCUUGCGCAAUGGGCGCAAGCCUGACGCAGCGACGCCGCGUGCGCGAUGAAGGCCUUCGGGUUGUAAAGCGCAAUAGACAGGGAAGAAGAAAGUGACGGUACCUGUUGAAAGCACCGGCUAACUACGUGCCAGCAGCCGCGGUAAUACGUAUGGUGCAAGCGUUGUUCGGAUUUACUGGGCGUAAAGAGUGCGCGGGCGGAUCAUUAAGUCAGGUGUGAAAACUUCGGGCUCAACCCGAAGACUGCACUUGAAACUAAUAAUCUCGAGUCUCGGAGAGGCAGGCAGAAUUCCUGGUGUAGCGGUGAAAUGCGUAGAUAUCAGGAGGAAUACCAAUGGCGAAGGCAGCCUGCUGGACGAUGACUGACGCUGAGGCACGAAAGCGUGGGGAGCAAACAGGAUUAGAAACCCCAGUAGUCC